rnacentral:rRNA from 1 species
AGAGUUUGAUUAUGGCUCAGAACGAACGCUGGCGGCGCGUCUUAAGCAUGCAAGUCGAACGGCAAGAGGUAGCAAUACCUCCUAGAGUGGCGGACUGGUGAGUAACACGUGGGUGACAUACCCUUCAGAUGGGGAUAGCUAUUAGAAAUACGUAGAUAAUACCGAAUACGAGCACAGGGGUUAGAGAUCUGUGAGGAAAGGAGCUAAGGCUCCGCUGAAGGAAUGGCCUGCGGCCCAUUAGCUAGUUGGUGAGGUAAGAGCCCACCAAGGCGAUGAUGGGUAUCCGGCCUUAGAGGGUGAACGGACACAUUGGGACUGAGAUACGGCCCAGACUCCUACGGGAGGCAGCAGCUAAGAAUAUUCCGCAAUGGACGAAAGUCUGACGGAGCGACGCCGCCGUGGAUGAAGAAGGCCGGAAGGUUGUAAAAUCCUUUUGAAACUGAAGAAUAAGCGUUGUAGGGAAUGACAGCGUGGUGACAGUAGGUUUUGAAUAAGCAACGGCUAAUUACGUGCCAGCCGCCGC